rnacentral:rRNA from 1 species
GACGAACGCUGGCGGCGUGCUUAAUACAUGCAAGUCAACUUGACUUUAGAUAGCAAUAUCGAAAAGUAGGGUGGCGCACGGGUGCGUAACGCGUAGGUAAUCUGCCCUGAGGUCUGACAUAACCCGUCGAAAGGCGGGCUAACAUCAGAUGAUAUAUAAUCACGACAUCGUGGAAAUAUCAAAUCUUCGGAGCCUUGGGAUGAGCCUGCGUCUGAUUAGGUAGUUGGCGGAGUAAUAGCCCACCAAGCCUACGAUCAGUAGCUGGUCUGAGAGGAUGAUCAGCCACACUGGAACUGAGACACGGUCCAGACUCCUACGGGAGGCAGCAGUAAGGAAUAUUAGCUCAAUGGGGGAAACCCUGAAGGCAGCAACGCCGCGU